rnacentral:lncRNA from 1 species
AUUUGUCGUAGUUCUUCGAAUCAAGAAUUGGAAGGUUGGUGGGUAUUUUAUCGUUUGAAACGGACAUGAUUGCAGCGGAAUAGGAUCAGAACCAAAGCUCCUGAUGCCAAAUGUUGGAACAAGAUCAAACUUGUUCAAGGUGAAUCAAUGGUGGAAGUUGUUAUUUUGGUGGUAGAAAGGUCAAUUGAGGAAGAUGAUGAAAAUAGAGAAAUAAGAAAAAUUGAGAUGAGAAUAUUGAAUGGCAUUAUCUGAAGGCAUUAAACACAAAUAUUACAAUUGAGGUCUAUUUAUAGUGUAGAGACCACUAAACAAACAGACUAAACAAAGCAUCCAAAACUGCCUAAUAAAACAAAAUUGUUUUUCUAUUUUGCCUUCAGGAAAUUGCUAUUUCUGCAGCAAAUAAGAAGCCUUCCAAAAUAGCUUCUCAAAUAAGCUAUUCUCCAAAAACACUUCAAAAGCCAAUUACACUGCAUUUGACUUAUUCUAAUCAUCCAACAAUAAUCACUAAAUCUCUCCUAAAACAUAAAUUCAGCUGAACUAGUAUCCUAUGUUCUGUAAUUAUGUUGGACUUCAGAUAUAAUGAUCAGGAUACAUGUUUCAUAAAAAAAACUCGUUUGGUUCUAAAGAAUUAGAACAAAUGUUGGCCAAAAAACGAGUAGCAGAAAGGAGAAAAGGUUUAUCAGAGUAGAAGGGAAAAGAGAGAAAAAGAUAUUGUUCUUUUCAUAAAUUGUUAAAGGGGAAUAAAGUGAAUGUGGAUAUGUUUUUCUUCCUGCAGAGAACUAAAACAAGAGAUUUAUGUCUUCCUAUCUAUUUUUUAUUCAUGUGUGCUACAACAAGAUUUUUAUUGUAUUAUUGAUAGAAUUCAAUAUAGAUUAACCAAGUAAAUACAAACAGGCAGCAUAAAAAGUAAAACAAUGCGAUCCAUAUUUUGGAUCUAAAUGUACAACCAAACAGCAAAUACUCAAAAUAUAACAAAGAAAAAUUCGAUCUGGACUCUUACCGAAAGCCGAGCUACGAUGUUGUUGUCGGUGUUGAAAGUGAUGCUGCCUCGGGUACAAAAUCUCAAGCACCGUUGGAGAGUGAUGGUUUUGUGAAGUUUUGGUGGUUGAGUUGGUGGCCGGAAGUGGAGAGCACCGGUAGUUGUUAUUCGGAGAAGGGAAAGUGGAAGGUGAUUUGGAUGUUGUUUGCGGAUGCUUCAUGAGUUCACCAGCUGGUAGGUGUUUUUUCUUUCCGUUGCAGUCCG